CCGACCCCCACCAGAUUCCAUGGCGGCAAUGUAAAGUGCCCAGGGCUUGCAAGAAACAGAGAAUAAAGGCAUGGCACACAUGUUGGGAAAACCAUACCUGACCCUCUUGGGUGUGGAGUGGUCAUGUAUGGAUGUGAGAGUUGGACUGUGAAGAAAGCUGAGCACCGAAGAAUUGAUGCUUUUGAACUGUGGUGUUGGAGAAGACUCUUGAGAGUCCCUUGGACUGCAAGGACAUCCAACCAGUCCAUCCUAAAGGAGAUCAGUCCUGGGUGUUCAUUAGAAGCACUGAUGCUGAAGCUGAAACUCUAGUACUUUGGCCACCUCAUGCGAAGAGUUGACUCCUUGGAAAAGACUCUGAU
ensembl:lncRNA